AGUGAACGCUGGCGGUAGGCCUGACACAUGCAAGUCGAACGGCAGCACAGGAGAGCUUGCUCUCUGGGUGGCGAGUGGCGGACGGGUGAGGAAUACAUCGGAAUCUACUUUUUCGUGGGGGAUAACGUAGGGAAACUUACGCUAAUACCGCAUACGACCUACGGGUGAAAGCAGGGGACCUUCGGGCCUUGCGCGAUUGAAUGAGCCGAUGUCGGAUUAGCUAGUUGGCGGGGUAAAGGCCCACCAAGGCGACGAUCCGUAGCUGGUCUGAGAGGAUGAUCAGCCACACUGGAACUGAGACACGGUCCAGACUCCUACGGGAGGCAGCAGUGGGGAAUAUUGGACAAUGGGCGCAAGCCUGAUCCAGCCAUACCGCGUGGGUGAAGAAGGCCUUCGGGUUGUAAAGCCCUUUUGUUGGGAAAGAAAUCCAGCUGGCUAAUACCCGGUUGGGAUGACGGUACCCAAAGAAUAAGCACCGGCUAACUACGUGCCAGCCGCCGCGGUAA
rnacentral:rRNA from 1 species